CCUACGGGAGACAGCAGUGAGGAAUAUUGGUCAAUGGACGGAAGUCUGAACCAGCCAUGCCGCGUGCAGGAAGACGGCUCUAUGAGUUGUAAACUGCUUUUGUACAAGGGUAAACCUGAAUACGUGUAUUCAGCUGAAAGUACUGUACGAAUAAGGAUCGGCUAACUCCGUGCCAGCAGCCGCGGUAAUACGGAGGAUCCAAGCGUUAUCCGGAUUUAUUGGGGUUAAAGGUGGCGUAGGCGGAUUUAUAAGUUAGAGGUGAAAGUUCCGAGCUUAACUCGGGAACUGCCUCUAAUACUAUUGAUCGAGAAAGUAGAUGCGGUAGGCGGAAUGUAUGGUGUAGCGGUGAAAUGCUUAGAGAUCAUACAGAACACCGAUUGCGAAGGCAGCUUACCAAUCUAUAUCUGACGUUGAGGCACGAAAGCGUGGGGAGCAAACAGGAUUAGAUACCCCUGUAGUC
rnacentral:rRNA from 1 species